rnacentral:lncRNA from 1 species
GUGAGAUCUCAGGAAUAGUGAUAGAAUUCAUUUUAAAUAAGUCUGUGUGAUUUUUCUACUGUAUCAUUUCAGGGACUUUGCUUAAAGAGGCUUUAAGGAAGAACUUAAAAUGGAGAAAGCCAACUUUUGAACGUGGUGAUCAGGUUGCCUUCAGUCUCUUCUACGUCAGGGAGUCAAGGGGCUGUGGAACCAUCCGUUCCACCUGCUACAUGCUUUCUCACCCUUCUCCUAACCUGACAAAUACUAUGUGGCAUCUCCAUCAUGGUUGACAUUGCUAGGCCCUACCUUAUUCAACUCUAACUGAAAAAUGGGGAGCAAGACGGGAUUAUGUAAGAAAAAAUGAAAAACUUUGAGGGCCAACUAACAGAUUUCCUAAACUAAUGAUGUAUUUUAAUAUUCCAGGGAUUUGAUUUAGGACAAAUUGUUAUUUGGAUGGAUGCUUGUCUAUUGAGAGAGUAAUUGUUAAACUAAAGGAAACUGGUCACAAAUACUUUAGCAAUGGCUAUAAAUGACCAGUGGGCCAAGGAUUUUGAGAUCGUGAGAGACUUCUCCAGGAAUGUUGUCAUUCAUUUCACUCCAGUGUGGCUCUUUUCCUCCAUCUGCGCUCACUUUUCUAGGAGAACUAUGGCCACUAUGGAGAAUAUGAAAACAUUGCUGAAGGAGGUGAAAGCCAUUUCAGAAGAAGAGUUAUAUAUUAGCUUUUGGCAGUGACAGCGUUAUGGGCACGGACAUUCAGCCUUUCCAGUUGACUGCUUUGAAGGGGCAAUGUUCACGUGGAAGUAUACCUCCUAGUACGUUUGCUAAAAUAAAAUCAGCUUCAUUACCUAAUAAC